rnacentral:lncRNA from 1 species
UUGUAUGCUUAUGUGUUAAGCUGAGUCGAAUUGUUCUUGUUUUCAAGCAUGCUAUGUGAAUUGAAGACAUUUGAUGAAUUUGCAUGUAAUAAAUAUAAUAUGUGAUCAGUAACAUAAAAGUACAAAAGAAAAGAAAGAUAGAAAAGUGGAAUGAAGCUUGUAUGGUUUGAAGUGUAUCUAUAAUGACAUGUAUAUUGCAUCAAGUGUCUCGUUAGAAUUUUUAUCAUUGAGGGGU